GACGAACGCUGGCGGCGUGCCUAAUACAUGCAAGUAGAGCGCUGAAGAGAGGAGCUUGCUCUUCUUGGAUGAGUUGCGAACGGGUGAGUAACGCGUAGGUAACCUGCCUUGUAGCGGGGGAUAACUAUUGGAAACGAUAGCUAAUACCGCAUAACAAUGGAUGACACAUGUCAUUUAUUUGAAAGGGGCAAUUGCUCCACUACAAGAUGGACCUGCGUUGUAUUAGCUAGUAGGUGAGGUAAUGGCUCACCUAGGCGACGAUACAUAGCCGACCUGAGAGGGUGAUCGGCCACACUGGGACUGAGACACGGCCCAGACUCCUACGGGAGGCAGCAGUAGAGAAUCUUCGGCAAUGGGGGCAACCCUGACCGAGCAACGCCGCGUGAGUGAAGAAGGUUUUCGGAUCGUAAAGCUCUGUUGUAAGUCAAGAACGGGUGUGAGAGUGGAAAGUUCACACUGUGACGGUAGCUUACCAGAAAGGGACGGCUAACCACGUG
rnacentral:rRNA from 1 species